rnacentral:rRNA from 1 species
GAACGCUAGCGGCAGGCUUAACACAUGCAAGUCGAGGGGUAUAGUUCUUCGGAGCUAGAGACCGGCGCACGGGUGCGUAACGCGUAUGCAAUCUACCUUUUACAGAGGGAUAGCCCAGAGAAAUUUGGAUUAAUACCUCAUAGUAUAGCAGUUUCGCAUGAAACCACUAUUAAAGUCACAACGGUAAAAGAUGAGCAUGCGUCCCAUUAGCUAGUUGGUAAGGUAACGGCUUACCAAGGCUACGAUGGGUAGGGGUCCUGAGAGGGAGAUCCCCCACACUGGAACUGAGACACGGUCCAGACUCCUACGGGAGGCAGCAGUGGGGAAUUUUGCGCAAUGGGGGAAACCCUGACGCAGCAACGCCGCGUGAGUGAUGAAGGCUUUCGGGUCGUAAAGCUCUGUCAGUGGGGAAGAAAUGGGUCGUGCUAAUAUCACGACUUCUUGACGGUACCGUAAGAAGAAGCACCGGCUAACUACGUGCCAGCAGCCGCGGUAAUACGUAGGGUGCAAGCGUUAAUCGGAAUUGCUGGGCGUAAAGCGUGCGCAGGCGGCGCCGCAAGUCAGGCGUGAAAUCCCCGAGCUCAACUUGGGAACUGCGCUUGAAACUACGGUGCUCGAGUAUGGCAGAGGGAGGUGGAAUUCCACGUGUAGCGGUGAAAUGCGUAGAGAUGUGGAGGAACACCGAUGGCGAAGGCAGCCUCCUGGGCCAAUACUGACGCUCAUGCACGAAAGCGUGGGGAGC